rnacentral:rRNA from 1 species
UACGGAGGGGGCGAGCGUUGUUCGGAUUUAUUGGGCGUAAAGGGCGCGUAGGCGGCUUGAUGUGUCAAAGGUGAAAUCCCUCGGCUCAACUGAGGAACUGCCUUUGAAACUGUCUGGCUUGAGGCCGGGAGAGGGUAGCGGAAUUCCCAGUGUAGCGGUGAAAUGCGUAGAUACUGGGAGGAACACCGGUGGCGAAGGCGGCUACCUGGACCGGUUCUGACGCUGAUGCGCGAAAGCGUGGGUAGCAAACAGG